CGUCGCUGCCACGCUCCCAGGGAGGUGCGGCAGACCGGGGCCCUCCGCCCCGGACCGAAGAACACAAAGCGGCCAUGCCCUCCUGACGGGACGUGGCCCUACAAGAAAUUUCGGAUGUACGCGCACCUCCGGUCGAGGUGUGGAAUGAC
rnacentral:sRNA from 1 species